ACUAGUAGCAAUAUCACCCUGCAGCUCUCAACUGGCUACCCACUGAAACUAAGCAGGCUUGAGCCUGGUCAGUACCUGGAUGUGAGACCUCCUGGGAAGCUAUGGUUGCUGCUGGAA
rnacentral:rRNA from 1 species